rnacentral:tRNA from 1 species
AUUAGCUCAGUUGGUUAGAGCAUGGUGCUAAUAAUACCCAGGUCAUGGGUUUGAUCCCCAUAU